UCCUGCUCACGAAGCAAUGUUGGAAUGGAAGUGUUUGAGUACCUCCAAUCUGUACUGAUUAUUCUUGCAAUGCAUUGUGUAAUGAAACACAAGAUGGCGGCAGGGCAGUUUUGCUGAACGUGUUGUGACACACUGUUUGUUUCAAGUGUUACAAGUUUUUAUUACUUAGCAAAACCGUUAUAGGCUGUGAGAGUUGUUAUUAAACAACAGGCAAAAUCUGGUGCCCUUCCUGAAAGCCGAGAGAGAAUACAUCUGUGCUGUGACUGACGACCUAGACACGUUGAGCCGACUAGCCUUGGAUACUCCUCAACGGUCAGGUUUUUAUCAGUGUUUCGCCAUUCUACCGGAGUCUUCUGACUCCGCUUCUGCCCCGCUGUGUGGUGGAAGCCGGAGGUUGGUAUCUACGCUGUGACAACGUCUAGAUGCGCUAGGCUUCCUAGCCCAGGAUACCCCUGUCAGGUGGACUAGCCACCAGUGAUUAGCCGGUGUACUGGGCCCGCUUUGCCUCACUGUGCGGUCUGGACUAGCAGAAGUUUCCAGUCCUGUAGAUUUCAGGAGCAGCAGAGACCUUACUCCCCCAACAUGUCUUCCCUGAUCGCUGAUAGGAAGUGAACUUGUCUACUGUCACGACUUCCGCCGAAGUCGGCUCCUCUCCUUGUUCGGCCGGCGUUCUGCGGUCAACGUCACCGACUUUCAAGCCAUCGCUGCUCCAUUUUUUAUUGAUCCAUUUGUUUUGUCUUGUUCCCUGCACACCUGGUUUUCAUUCCCCAAUCACACUGCAUGUAUUUAUUCCUCUAUUCCCCCUCAUGUCUUUGUGUGAAUUGUUUGUGUUACGUGUUAAUUGUUGACGCGCCAGACUGGUUUCCUUAUACCGUGUUGUUCACGAAGAUGUUUAUUGUUAAACAUAAAUUAUUGUGACUGUUUUGCGCGUUUUGCACUUUUGCCUAUGGGCUGGAGGUUGACACAGUGGCGUCCGUCUGUUGGUUUCUCCUGCCUCAAUAAACUCUCUACUCUCCUGCACCUGACUUCGCUACCAGUACGCACACACCUGACAUCUACAAAAUAUCCCUGUCUAAAUUAUAGUUUUUAGUAAGACCUGUUGUUGGGAUGUGUAAAAAAAUCUAAAGCUACUGAUCUGACCAAAUACACUGAGUUACAUUUUUUUUGUCUGGAAAAAGUAGAUUUUUUUUCAACACCCCCAUUAUUAUAUGAACUGUUUUCCCCGUUGUUCUUAAUGAAUGACAAAUUAAGGAAAUGUAUUGGGACAUAUCUGUCAGCAAAAUGCUAUAAAAAGUACAAUCAUGACAUGUAGUUAGAUAUGAGGUGAAAUGUUCCAUAUUUAAAUUUACAUUUACAUUUAAGUCAUUUGGCAGACGCUCUUAUCCAGAGCGACUUACAAAUUGGUGCGUUCACCUUAUGACUUAUGACAUAAAUCUAUAUAAUUAUUGUACAUCAUGCACUGUAACUGAAACUAAAAUACCCACUGUUGAUACAAACAAAGAUGAACAACAAUUAAUAAUUGAAGUAGAUUGGGACCUUGUUAGUCAAGAGGAGCAACCCAGCAGACACAGAGCAACCACAGAAUGUUGCCACAACAUUGCCUCAAAGUUGUGUGGUGGCUGUAUAGUAUUGCAUAUUGCAUCUGUCAUUGUAAGCCCUCUGUGUUCUGUCAUUUUUUCCCAGAAUAAACAGUAAGAAUAAAAUGGUUUGGAAUAUGUA